rnacentral:lncRNA from 1 species
CGGAGCCGCAUGGCCCUGCCGCCGGCCGCCCCGCGCUAGCGGCACCCGCACCCGGGAGGCGCCGGCCCGGCGGCGGGGCUGCCCGCGCCUCGGCUACGUCCGUCUGUCCAUCCGUCCGUCCGUCCAGCGCAGCGCCCGGCGCGCAGGAUCCCGCAGCGGGGUGCGGAGCGGCAGCGCUUGGCGAGGAUUAACCUGGCGCAGAAGCCGGGGCCUCUCUGCAGGACACCAGCCCCUGUGCCCUCCCUGACCACGCUGCCACAGAUGCUGCUCCUCGGCAGAAAUCGCUCCGGUUCAGCCUCUCCCAGGACUGACCUCUGGCUCACCCUCCGGAACCUUUACUUGAAGCUGCAGCCUGGGCCCUCCAGGUCGGCUGCCUCGAGGAACUGUCUUCCCCCUCACAGGUUUCCCAUCUGCCACUUGAAGUCUGAAAUUCCUGUUUUUUCUGGUGUCUGAGUUUUUUAUAACUAAAAAUGACGGCGAAGAAUCUGGUGGCAGCAGCUGCGGUCCCAGUCAUGUCCCAUGUCACCAGUGGUGAGGUCACGAGCUGUAAACAUGGUAGCUUCAAUCACCUGAACAAAUAAAUGUUUUACUACAACGGC